rnacentral:lncRNA from 1 species
GGGGGAAGGAGCGGAGGGAGCAUAAACAUUCCUAAAAAUAGGGUUUGGCUCUCCAAACCCCACAGCAAACUGGAAAGGGAGGGCAGGAGAGGCGGAGGGGCAGCCCGGGACUUCUGAAGAGGGUCCCUGCCGGGGCCGGGUCUUUCCCAUGUUCCUCUCCAGCUCUGAGGGUCCAGGCCUGGGUGUCUUCCCAGGGUGGGGGGAGGCCCGAGGGCAGUGUCUUGGCGUUUCUGGAUCUCAUGGCACCUUUGCAUGAAGCCUUGGGCACAGCGAGCCUGACAACAUCCAGAAGGAAGCCCUCGGCCGAGGGAGGAGGGGCCCUCGCGAUGGAGCUGCUUGUUUUCGUCUUUCAGGAACAGAUGUUUGAGCUACGAGGGCCACGAUGCACAUUUCUGCAAGCUGGAUCUCAUUUGCCUCUUCGGCUUCCAUUACGCAGCGGGGCUCCUCUCCCCCGGGGGACAUCCCGGCAGAUGGCCAGGGAGCAGCGUGGCGUGGAAGGGCAUGGAGACGCCCAGCCGGGAUACCAGCCUCUCUGGUCAUGCCUGGUGGUGUGCUCAGCCCUGUGGUCUCGGACUGCGGCAGCAACAGCUGUUGAGGGAAGGACAUGGUUUCCCCCAUGAUGUCAGCCUCGGCGAGGAGGUGGGCGGCAGGGGGUGGGAGCUGGAGCUGUUUGCUGGAGAGGCCGCUGUGUCCCUCAGGCACGCCACUGCGAUCUCUCUGUUCUGCGCCUCCCUCUGUCCGACGGGAAUUCUAAUUCCUGCCUUGUGUAUUUCAUGGGUGCUCGUGAGGAGUGUACAGAAGCAGGAUUUAUGCACUUCAAGCUGAAAAUAGUGUGGAAAGACUUUGAAGUGUGUUGCUCUGUGGUCUUGGAACAAGCCCUGACGGCCGCAGGCUGCAGGGUCUAGUGGAGCCGAGCUGUAAUGCCGCCCAUCACCAGCAGGCGCCGCCAUUGACCUCACUCGGGCCUGGGCGCGGGGCACCUCUGGUGCGGGGCUCUGGGCUAGGGACCCUCUGGCCCCGCCGUCGUCCAGAGCCCAGCUUGGCCUCCCGCCCGCUGACCCGCUGAGGCACACAGGCCAGAGUUGCUGCACCUUCCUUUUUGUUUGAAUUUUCAAAAGAAGAUGGUUUUAAAAAAUGUAAAAUCUCCUGAUUUUUAAUUAUUGGCAACAGAUUCUAAUUAAAUAAAAUACUCUGUGGGCCAAAUGAAGCAUGUCUUAGGCCCAGCUCUGUCAGAUUUGGGGCAGGACUUGUUCACUGUGUAAUUUAGGCAUAAAUGCCUGGGGCUGCACGCCCCUUUCUGGAGGUGUGUAUGUGGGUGUCUUUCGCCAGCGUGAUUCACUGAAUGUGUUCAUCUUACGUACAAACAGGGUUCAACGAAUCGCACUUUGGGGUUUGUAAACGGUAAUGGCUGAGACACAAGUUCCUAGAGUCAGACUGCACUGGGUGUGAAUCCUGGAUGUACUUUUUAGUAGCUGUGUGACCUUGGGCAAGUCUCUUAACCUCUCUGAGCCUCAACAUUCUCAGUUGUAAACAUGGGGAUAAGAAUACCCAUGUGUAGCCAUCAGUAGUGUGUACACCAUAUAGUUCUCACUGUCAUCUUCUGGGCAGCUGGGAAGAUGGCACGUCCUGGCUCCCUUGUGGUUGGUGGAACCGUGUGAUUCAUCGUGGCUGAGAGCUGAGACAUGGGAAUCACCUCUGUCACUUUUGGGGCUGCAGGGCUGCGAGCCUUCAGCACUCUUCCUCCUCCUCUCUGCCCUGCGACAUGCAGUGUCUGCGGUGCUGGCCGCCCGUCAGCCCGGGUCCCAGAGGAGGACAGCGAGGAGCACAGCCCCAGGGUGACCUCUGAAGCAGCAGCAGGAAGCCAGCCUCGGUCACGCUAGCUGCCGAGACCUGGGACUGCCUGUCACCGCGGCGUCCCUGGGCCAUCCUGACCCAGACGCCCCGCCAGGAGCCUCGGGGGCAGCGAUGGAAGAUGCACGGAGGGGCCUGGCACGUGCGACGCAGAAACCGCAGACCCUGCUCCCGUGGGUCAGCACGCGCUCACGGAGCACCUGGCUGGGCGGCCGGCUCCGGGCCCCGGGAACUGAGCGGAGAACAAAGCAGACCGCCGUCCCAGACCCCGGAGCAGCCGCU